AAAAAAUCAUUGAUAGAGAGAGUAACUGAUAGAUGGAGAUAAAGAGAGCGAUUGGGUGGUGUGAAAUCGUAUUUCCUCUAUAAGUGAAAGUAGCUCUGGAGAUGCACAGGUGACGUAAGAAGUUUGUGACGGUGAUCCCCGUUAUCGGAUAAUGCGCUUAAUUUUUUAAUGAGUCGCUGAGAGAUUGUUUGAUUUUUCAAACAAAAAAACGGUGGUACCGCAAUUGACUAUUGCCCGUUGG
rnacentral:ncRNA from 1 species